CCUGAUCACCUGUCUGGGCUGUUACGUGCAUGGGGAAAGUCUCGGCAGCUCUUGGACUGUGUUACUUCCCCAGGACUCUGGCCACCUGCCUGAGGGCAGACAUGAGUCCUAAAAUCUAUGCCUUUGAGGACAGAGAUAGAGGAACUGGCCGGUGAAGGUGUUGGUGCCACGGAGGCCUGGCGAAUCCCAUCGACGUCAAUAAACUACUUGGUGGAGCCGUGGUCCAGCGACACCGUGCAGGCCUCAGCCAGGUAGCAAAGGAUGUCGUAAAUGGACGUCAGCUGCCCUCUUGGCAGGAUCAGACCGCUGUCAACUCAAAUCACCCAGAAGGACGGGACGGAGUCCAGACUUAGCCAACACUUCCCUCUGGUGUGUGGGCUGGAGGCCCCAGUUGCCAGGACGACCACACACAGGCCCCUGAGUGUCCUCUUGUGGUACACAUGCCAUCACCCUGGACUUUCAAGGCACCAGGUCCCAGUAAGAGGAUGCACCUGCCCGGGAGGGCUGCACCAGAUACCGAGAAUUCCCCUGAGACUCCCCAC
rnacentral:lncRNA from 1 species